UACGUAGGGCGCAAGCGUUGUCCGGAAUUAUUGGGCGUAAAGAGCUCGUAGGCGGUCUGUUACGUCUGCUGUGAAAACCCAGGGCUUAACCCUGGGCUUGCAGUGGAUACGGGCAGACUAGAGGCAGGUAGGGGAGAAUGGAAUUCCCGGUGUAGCGGUGAAAUGCGCAGAUAUCAGGAGGAACACCAGUGGCGAAGGCGACUUCCUGGCCUGUUCUUGACGCUGAGGCGCGAAAGCUAGGGGAGCAAACGGG
rnacentral:rRNA from 1 species